GACGAACGCUGGCGGCGUGCCUAAUACAUGCAAGUAGAACGCACAGUUUAUACCGUAGCUUGCUACACCAUAGACUGUGAGUUGCGAACGGGUGAGUAACGCGUAGGUAACCUGCCUGGUAGCGGGGGAUGACUAUUGGAAACGAUAGCUAAUACCGCAUAAUAUUAAUUAUUGCAUGAUAAUUAAUUGAAAGGUGCAAUUGCACCACUACCAGAUGGACCUGCGUUGUAUUAGCUAGUAGGUGAGGUAACGGCUCACCUAGGCGACGAUACAUAGCCGACCUGAGAGGGUGAUCGGCCACACUGGGACUGAGACACGGCCCAGACUCCUAAGGGAGGCAGCAGUAGGGAAUCUUCGGCAAUGGACGAAAGUCUGACCGAGCAACGCCGCGUGAGGGAAGAAGGUUUUCGGAUCGUAAAGCUCUGUUGUAAGAGAAGAACGGGUGUGAGAGUGGAAAGUUCACACUGUGACGGUAUCUUACCAGAAAGGGACGGCUAACUACGUG
rnacentral:rRNA from 1 species